rnacentral:rRNA from 1 species
CCUACGGGAGGCAGCAGUGGGGAAUAUUGCACAAUGGGGGAAACCCUGAUGCAGCGACGCCGCGUGAGUGAGGAAGUAUUUCGGUAUGUAAAGCUCUAUCAGCAGGGAAGAAAAUGACGGUACCUGACUAAGAAGCCCCGGCUAACUACGUGCCAGCAGCCGCGGUAAUACGUAGGGGGCAAGCGUUAUCCGGAUUUACUGGGUGUAAAGGGAGCGUAGACGGCUAGUCAAGUCAGAUGUGAAAGCCCGGGGCUCAACCCCGGUACUGCAUUUGAAACUGUCCAGCUGGAGUGCAGGAGAGGUAAGCGGAAUUCCUAGUGUAGCGGUGAAAUGCGUAGAUAUUAGGAGGAACACCAGUGGCGAAGGCGGCUUACUGGACUGUAACUGACACUGAGGCACGAAAGCGUGGGGAGCAAACAGGAUUAGAUACCCGUGUAGUC